rnacentral:rRNA from 1 species
GUGAACCGUUCAGGGGUAAACCUGAGAAACCCGAAGGUCGAAAGAGGAAAUUUCAUUCGCGUUUCGGCUGUGUCGAAGUUGAGCGUAUAUAUGACGGAUGGCGUUUCGAUGUCGUCUGCUUUUUAUGUUCUUCGAAUCGAUGUCGAACGCGUGCACUUUUCCUCUAGUAGGACGUCGCGAUCCGUUGGGUGUCUGUCUAAGGCUCGGGGUGGAGCCCGCGUGAUUUUUGUUCGCGCGGACCCUCGAUGUCCCGACAGACUCGCUCGACGGUAUAAUAAUGGCGCGGGGCCGCUACUUUAGUUAGCGUUCGAUCCGUGGCAAGCAUGUUCUGUCGUUUGACGGCGAUCGGACCUAGUGCCGAUUCUGUCCCAGAACGACUGUUGGUUGCGGUAUUCUCGAACAGACCUCGUUUGAAACGCCGAUCAGCGACGCUAUAGAUUUGGGUACUUUCAGGACCCGUCUUGAAAC